rnacentral:rRNA from 1 species
UACGAGGGGGGCGAGCGUUGUUCGGAAUUAUUGGGCGUAAAGGGUGCGUAGGCGGUUUUGUAAGUCUUAUGUGAAAUCUAUGGGCUCAACUCAUAGACUGCAUGAGAAACUGCAGGGCUUGAGUAUGGGAGAGGUGACUGGAAUUCCUGGUGUAGCGGUGAAAUGCGCAGAUAUCAGGAGGAACACCGAUGGCGAAGGCAGGUCUCUGGGCCACUACUGACGCUGAGAAGCGAAAGCAUGGGGAGCGAACAGG